UGCUCCUUAAGAAAAUUUGUACGUCGUUUUCCAAGCAGACCGCGUUUAGUUUACGCGAAGUAGAAAAAUGAAGUUGUGUAUGCUCUAUGAUGAUCCGCCGCAGGCUUAGGCCUUUUCCCCGAUGAGCAGUGUUUUGUAUGCGAUGUCGCAUGUCUGGACUUGUUCAGUGUUGCAAUUUUUACCCUUCGUUAAUAUCUUGUUGUUGUCGUCGUCUUGUGUUAGACGUUGAGCUUCGUAGCGAUGUGCGGUAACGCUACGAUUAUUCCUGAGCGCUCCGUGUGUUUAAUGCGUUGUCCUCUUUGCGUGCAUGCGUGUGCUUUUUUUCUCCUGAUUUGUGACGUCCUCGUGGCAUGUCUGGACUUGUUUAGCAGUGUUGCUGUUCUUCCCGCUGCUAGUAUCUUGUUGGUGUCAUGUUGUGCUAGCCGCGUGGCGAUGUGCUGUGGUCUUAAGCCUUUUCCCUGCUCACCUAAGGAAAUUUGUGUAUCCCUGUCCUGUGCUUUCUUUACGCAAAGGUAAUGCGACUGUGUAUGUGGCAUUAUGCAAGAAUUAUCUGGUGGCAGAAAUAGGCGUAUUUUUCUCAGUGUAUUGGCGUGCGCUACGGUUUCUUGCAGUUACAGCUAUUGGAGCACACAUACGUGUAAUUUUUCGCGGUUCUUUUCUCCUUUCACGGCUUUUACUCAGAAUGUAGAUGAGGGGAAACAGUCAGCAUCCAGGUAGAGCAGGAGAAAGCCGCUCGGCAGAGGAGAGAGUUCAUGAGAAUGGAAUUUGUUUGUUUUUUGUUAUAUGUUGAGUGUUAGUAUUCGCUUUCCUCGAUAUGUUGAGGAAGUCAGCCGUUAUAGGUAUUUGUGCAGAAAUGCUGGUAUCUGAGUGUGUGGAGUAGAAAUUCCUAUAAAGCACCUCUCCUUGUGCAUUCCUGAGCUGCUGUGUGCGCGCGCGUGCUUCUUUUUCCUGGAUUGCGACGUCAUGAUGGCAUGUUGGGGCUUGUUUAGCAGUGUUGCAAUUUUACCCGCCGCUAUUAUCUUGUUAUCUUGUGUUAGCCGCGUAGCGAUGUCCAGUGACUCUGCUAUUAUUCCUGAGGUCUUAAGCCUUUUCCCUGCUCACCUAAGGAAAUUUGUGUAUCCCUGUCCUGUGCUUUCUUUGCGACAAUGCGUCUGUGUAUGUGGCACUAUCAGAUACCAGACAUGAGUGUCCUUUUCUUGGUUUAUUGGCAUAUGCUUCAGGUUUUUUUAAGUCAAGCACAAGUGCGCGCAAUUUUUCGCUGCUCUCUUCCUCAGAUCACCGAUUUUACGAAGAAGACAGUCGCAUGGUACAGCUGAGAAGAGGGUUUCUCUGAUUGUUUGUUUGAUUUUGUUGGGUGUUCGAUAUGUUGAGGAAGUCAGCUGUUAAAGGUAUCCGUGAAGAAAUGCUUGCACCUGAGCGCAGGAUAGGAAUUCCUGAAGCACGGCACCCUCAGUGUAAAUUAAUUAUGUUGGAUAUGAGUCUGCUUCCCUGCAUGACAAGGCUGAAAUGGGAAGAGAGAAAAAAUUGGAGCGCUUCAUUAGUAGCGAUCCAAGUAAUAGGGCAAUUAUAGUUUCCAUAGAAAGUAGAAUUUUAAUGGGCUCCUAAAAUUAUAGUUUAGUUGUAGUUUUUCUAAACUGCAAUGCAAUAAUCAUUAAUAUAGUAUAGGAAUGCUAUCGUGUUCCCGUAAAGGCGUUCUGUCUUGUGCUUUGGAAUGCGCGAAUAGAACUUUGCUCGCAGCCUUUCCCGCCUUCAUGCUCGCAAUGCGCGAAUGGAACUUUGCCCACCCGGCUUCCGCGCCUUUUUUGCUCGCGGGUGUAGCCUCAGACAACGAAUGUAUGAGCAUAGAAAGGGUCACGUAUUACAUAAGCCUGGAGGUGAUGUUGAGUGGUCUCACUUAUUAUUUUAAAAGAGCAGUGGCAGUUUACUGUAAUUCUAAUGACCAUGAUGAGCCUUUGGGGUGAAAAUCGUUAAUAUGCGGGGUGCUUUUUUGUUGAAUUUUAAUGAGAGAAUCAAUGUCAUUAAGAGUAGGACAAAGGAAAUAAUCUUGCGAUUCAAUAAUUAAUAGAAGUCUUUGCCGCUGUCUUCUUCUUCAGACAGGAUGUGAUGACGACACGCAGUCUGUAGCAAUGCAUUGACCGUCACUGGAAAAAAAGUGUAGCAAUAGAAAAAUGGUGCGUAUUGCCCUGGACGGAUUUAUGAUGUGCACUGUUUUUGAACAAGAGGAGUGCGUGUGCUUGGAAAUAGUUUGAUGCUGGUUUCCUUCUUUGUUUCUUUUCGCUUUUUCCCCCUUGUUGUCUGAUAAACAUGCGCUGACAUGCCUGGGCUUGUUCUGACAUGCUUUCCUUCUAGAUGUAGAUUUUUCCUUUUUGAAGAGAAACCUUCUUGACGAUAGUGCUGCCUUGAAUGGGAAUAGUGCUAUUCUUAAUACUUUUGCGAUUCAUUUAGUUCAGAGAGUAUAACCGCGAGGGGGACAGGUGUGUGACUUUAUUCAGGAGGAACAAAGCAUCAUUAUUCAAUUAUCUGCAUGGCUCUCGGGUGGUCCUGGAGGUGAUGUGGAGUGGACUCACUUAUUAUUUUAAAGAGCAGUGGUAGUUUACUGUAAUUCUAAUGACCAUGAUGAGCCUUUGGGGUGAAAAUCGUUAAUAUGCAGGGUGCUUUUUUGUUGAAUUUUAAUGAGAGAAUCAAUGUCAUUAAGAGUAGGACAAAGGAAAUAAUCUUGCGAUUCAAUAAAUAAUAGGAGUCUUUGCCGGUGUCUUCUUCUUCGGACAGGAUGUGAUGACGUCACGCAGUCUGUAGCAAUGCAUUGACCGUUACUGGAAAAAAGUGUGGCAAUAGAAAAAUGGUGUGUAUUGUCCUGGGCAGAUUUAUGAUGAGCACUGUUUUUGAAUAAGAAGAAAUAGUUUGAUGCUGGUUUCCUUCUUUGUUUCUUUUCGCUUUUUCCCCCCUUGUCUGACAAACAUGUGCUGACAUGCCUGGGCUUGUUCUGACAUGCUUUCCUUCUGCAUGUAGUUUUUUUUCUUUUUGUACAGACAUAUUCUUGACGAUAGUGCUGCCUUGAAUGGGAGUAGAGCUAUUCUUAAUAAUUUUGCGAUUCAUUUAGUUCAGAGAGUAACCGCGAGGGGGACAGGUGUGUGACUUUAUGUCUUGCUGAACCAUUUUUUUUCCUGUACAGUAAGACUUUGGGAAUGAAAUGCUACAAUCUCCUCUUGUCUAUGGUGUUUUUCUGCAAUAGUUCCCCACGCAAUCAUUAUAGUAGAAUAAAGGAAAUAAUCUUGGGAUAGUGAUUCAAUAAAUAAUAUGUCCCCUGUCUAGAGCGUACGCGUCCUUGAGCCACGCACCUGCAUGAUGACCGCAUACCGAGAGACUAUUGUUUCAGGUUGACCUUGUCUAGAGGAGCAUUAGUGGAAAAAAACUGUGUAGCCCUGAGACAAUAGGAUGCCGUUACGACCAAUGAGAACGGCCUGCAGGGGGCGCAAGGAUUCACUUCUCUCUUGGACACUGACGGGUCUCGACACGCAAAUUCUGCUCCUGGCGUUGGCCGUCAGUGGAAGAGCGUAGCUUCGGUCUGCCUCUGAUGGGGUGCGGAUGUGUGGUUCGUCACUGGUGAAUGGUGUACGACGAUGCAGGUGGAUUUUGUGACGAGCGGAUUUACGAUGAGGGAAUGCUGUGAACGGGAAAAAUGAUGGUGAGUGCCUUUUUCACUCUGUUCAAGUGUUUGUUUUCCUCUGUUGCCCAGCAGUCGUACGAAUUUGUUCUGACAUGCCCCGAUAUGCAUGCUUUCCUGUGUUGACGUUUUGUAAUUUUUCUCUUUUGACAAGGAACAUUGUUGUCUUGACGAUAGUGCUGCCCUGAGUUCUGCGCUCCUGUUUACCCGUACUCUGUGUUGAUUUGUUGAGUACCUAGUCCUCUUAUUUGCCGUUGAUGGAGUUACGUGUUAGGAUAUUUUGUUCUUUUGCAAGUCUCAUUUAGUAAGUCCUUCGAUCAGCUUUCAUGCAUGGUGCUCUUCUGCAAUAGUUUCCUAUGCAAUCGUUAUAGAAGAAUAAAGGAAAUAAUCUUGGGAUAGUGAUUCGAUAAAUAAUAGGUCCCCUGUCUAGAGCGCACGCGUCCUUGAGCCACGCAGGUGCAUGAUGACGUCAUACCGUGGCUUCAUUGUAGAUUGACCAAAGGAGCAUUAGUGGAAAAAAACAGGGUAGCCCUGAGACAAUAGGAUGAUGUCUGGACCAAUGAGAACUGCCAGCAGGGGGCGCAGGAAUGCUCUUCUCACUUAGCCUCACGACCAAUGAGAACGGCCAGCAGGGGGCGCAGGAAUGCUCUUCUCACUUAGCCUCUCGCAGGUGGCGGUAGGAGCGCGCAGAGGGCGCUACGAGCGCGCGCAUGCGUAGCACCCGUAGAGUGGCGCUUACGUCAGUCCACCUCUGGCUCUCGUUGGGAGAAGACGUGCGGUCGUUCGCUCCGUCGUCACUUGACCCCUGGCUGUCGACGAGAGCAGUCGCAUCGGUCUGCGCUCCUACUGUGAGCUGUCCUAGCUUGCCCAGACAUGCCGUGAUGACGUCACAGCUAACGUUACAGGAUGUCCGGAACUGGUGGUCAUAGCUGCGAUGCUUUGCAACCUGCCUCCGUGCUCCGUCGCCCAGCGACGGUCAGCGGCCUUUCCGGGUCGCUUUCUUCAAGAUGGCGCCGUUGAUCUUCAAUUAAACUCCUUCUCUCCACUCUA